UACGUAGGCAGCAAGCGUUGUUCGGAAUUACUGGGCGUAAAGAGUGUGUAGGCGGUGCUCUAAGUUCGGUGUGAAAUCUCCCGGCUCAACUGGGAGGGUGCGCCGGAAACUGGGGUGCUGGAGCGCGGGAGAGGAAAGCGGAAUUCCUGGUGUAGCGGUGAAAUGCGUAGAUAUCAAGUGGAACACCAGUGGCGAAGACGAGUCCCUGGACACUUCCUGACACUGAGGCACGAAGCUAGGGGAGCAAACAGG
rnacentral:rRNA from 1 species